CGGAGGCUACCGCUAUUGGAGUUCGAUUAAGCCAUGCGAGUCGAGAGUCUUAGGGACUCGGCGUACCGCUCAGUAACACGUGGGUAACCUGCCCUAUGCUGGGGAAUAACCUCGGGAAACUGAGAAUAAUGCCCCAUAGUCCACCAUGCCUGGAACGGUUGGUGGAUCAAAGCUCCGGCGGCAUAGGAUGGGCCUGCGGCGUAUCAGGUUGUAGGGGGUGUAAUGUACCCUCUAGCCAUCAACGCGUACGGGUGUUGGGAGACAUAGCCCGGAGAUGGAUUCUGAGACACGAAUCCAGACCCUACGGGGUGCAGCAGGCGCGAAAACUUGGCAAUGCGAGCAAUCGUGACCAGGGAACUCCAAGUGGCUGGGGUAAGACCCAGUCUUUUCUUGACUCUUCAAAGGUCUUGGAAUAAGGGGUGGGUAAGGACGGUGCCAGCCGCCGCGGUAAUACCGGCGCCUCAAGUGGUAGUCGAUUUUAUUGGGCCUAAAACGUCCGUAGCCUGUUUGGUACAUUCGUGGGUAAAUCAACCAGCUCAACUGAUUGAAUUCUGCGAGCACGGCCAGACUUGGGACCGGGAGAGGUGUGGGGUACGCUCAGGGUAGGGGUAAAAUCCUGUCAUCCUGAGCGGACCACCUGUUGCGAAGGCGCCACACUAGAACGGAUCCGACGGUCAGGGACGAAGCCUAGGGGCACGAACCGGAUUAGAUACCCGGGUAGUCCUAGGUGUAAACGCUGUGGACUUGGUGUUGGGGAUUCUCCGAGGAUUCUCAGUGCCGAAGCGAAGGUGAUAAGUCCACUGCCUGGGGAGUACGGUCGCAAGGCUGAAACUUAAAGGAAUUGGCGGGG
rnacentral:rRNA from 1 species